GACGAACGCUGGCGGCGUGCUUAACACAUGCAAGUCGAACGGAAAGGCCCUGCUUGCAGGGUACUCGAGUGGCGAACGGGUGAGUAACACGUGGGUGAUCUGCCCUGCACUUCGGGAUAAGCCUGGGAAACUGGGUCUAAUACCGGAUAGGAGCCAUUUUUAGUGUGAUGGUUGGAAAGUUUUUUCGGUGUAGGAUGAGCUUGCGGCGUAUCUGCUAGUUGGUUGGGUAAUGGCUUACCAAGGCGGCAAUGGAUUGCCAACCUGCGAGGGGGAACGGCCACACUGGAGGUGGAAGGCGAUCCAGGGACCUACAGGCGGCACCGGUAGGGACGGGAGGGAGCAGGGGGGAAGCCUGCCCAAGGGGCGCCAGGCGGAUGCAGCGAGGCCUCGGGGGGUAUGACGGUCUUAGGGGUGUAAACCACUUUCGCAAGGGACGAAGCAUUUUGUGACGGUACCUAGAUAAGAAGCACCGGCUAACUACGUG
rnacentral:rRNA from 1 species